UGCUACAUAGACAAUAAUGAUAACUCUAAUUGCCAUUGAUCAGAAUUAUUCAGACCUGGAUUCCUGAUUGCGAGGGAAGGAAGAAAAGAGUAAAUAAAAAUGGUUUCUUACUUCAUCUACAGAAUUCCAGUAACUGAGUGGACUUGAGGAAUGAUGUCCUCUUUUCUGGCAGAGUUGGAGAAACUGAUUUUUUUACCAAGGCUUUGACUGGAAGGGUAUGCUUCCCUUUAAGGAAUCAAGCUCAACUUGCAGAGCCAAUAAAAGCCUCUUGGGAAAACUGGCUUCAUACCUUGUCUACACAGUCCCCCUACAGUGCUUCUAAACUGUGUGGCAGAAACAACUCUUCCAUCCCUUCCAUAUGGAAACUACUCUCAACUUGUCUGAAGAACCCAUUAUGGCCUCACCAGUGGUAAGUACCUUACAGGAAAUUGCUACUCCUCC
rnacentral:lncRNA from 13 species